rnacentral:rRNA from 2 species
AGACCCGAAACCCGGUGAUCUAGCCAUGGGCAGGUUGAAGGUUGGGUAACACUAACUGGAGGACCGAACCGACUAAUGUUGAAAAAUUAGCGGAUGACCUGUGGCUGGGGGUGAAAGGCCAAUCAAACCGGGAGAUAGCUGGUUCUCCCCGAAAGCUAUUUAGGUAGCGCCUCGUGAAUUCAUCUCCGGGGGUAGAGCACUGUUUCGGCUAGGGGGCCAUCCCGGCUUACCAACCCGAUGCAAACUGCGAAUACCGGAGAAUGUUAUCACGGGAGACACACGGCGGGUGCUAACGUCCGUCGUGAAGAGGGAAACAACCCAGACCGCCAGCUAAGGUCCCAAAGUCAUGGUUAAGUGGGAAACGAUGUGGGAAGGCCCAGACAGCCAGGAUGUUGGCUUAGAAGCAGCCAUCAUUUAAAGAAAGCGUAAUAGCUCACUGGUCGAGUCGGCCUGCGCGGAAGAUGUAACGGGGCUAAACCAUGCACCGAAGCUGCGGCAGCGACACUCAGGUGUUGUUGGGUAGGGGAGCGUUCUGUAAGUCUGCGAAGGUGGCCUGUGAGGGUUGCUGGAGGUAUCAGAAGUGCGAAUGCUGACAUAAGUAACGAUAAAGCGGGUGAAAAGCCCGCUCGCCGGAAGACCAAGGGUUCCUGUCCAACG